rnacentral:rRNA from 1 species
GAUAACGGCGUCGAGCGGCGGACGGGUGAGUAAUGCCUAGGAAAUUGCCUUGAUGUGGGGGAUAACCAUUGGAAACGAUGGCUAAUACCGCAUAAUGCCUACGGGCCAAAGAGGGGGACCUUCGGGCCUCUCGCGUCAAGAUAUGCCUAGGUGGGAUUAGCUAGUUGGUGAGGUAAUGGCUCACCAAGGCGACGAUCCCUAGCUGGUCUGAGAGGAUGAUCAGCCACACUGGAACUGAGACACGGUCCAGACUCCUACGGGAGGCAGCAGUGGGGAAUAUUGCACAAUGGGCGCAAGCCUGAUGCAGCCAUGCCGCGUGUAUGAAGAAGGCCUUCGGGUUGUAAAGUACUUUCAGCAGUGAGGAAGGGGGUGUCGUUAAUAGCGGCAUUUCUUGACGUUAGCUGCAGAAGAAGCACCGGCUAACUCCGUGCCAGCAGCCGCGGUAAUACGGAGGGUGCGAGCGUUAAUCGGAAUUACUGGGCGUAAAGCGCAUGCAGGUGGUUUGUUAAGUCAGAUGUGAAAGCCCGGGGCUCAACCUCGGAACUGCAUUUGAAACUGGCAAACUAGAGUACUGUAGAGGGGGGUAGAAUUUCAGGUGUAGCGGUGAAAUGCGUAGAGAUCUGAAGGAAUACCAGUGGCGAAGGCGGCCCCCUGGACAGAUACUGACACUCAGAUGCGAAAGCGUGGGGAGCAAACAGGAUUAGAUACCCUGGUAGUCCACGCCGUAAACGAUGUCUACUUGGAGGUUGUGGGCCUUGAGCCGUGGCUUUCGGAGCUAACGCGUUAAGUAGACCGCCUGGGGAGUACGGUCGCAAGAUUAAAACUCAAAUGAAUUGACGGGGGCCGCACAAGCGGUGGANCAUGUGGUUUAAUUCGAUGCAACGCGAAGAAACCUUACCUACUCUUGACAUCCAGAGAACUUUCCAGAGAUGGAUUGGUGGCCUUCGGG